CAUGAACAGAACAUAGAGUUGAUACUUAAGGUUGCAGACUUUCUAUUAUAUAGCAAUUUAAUUUAGUAAGUAUUUUUCCCUGGUUCUGUAAGCAAAUAUUGGCUAGCAUUUGAAAGUAGAAACUGAGACUAAAGUAGGUCUAAAAUGAGAGUGAUCUUUCAUAUUUAUUAUAAUCAAAUGGUAUUAGUAAAAAUUAAUAGUGUAUAUUGUAGGUCUAGGUGUGGGUUUGAAAUACUCCAUUGCACACAGCUUGUUAUUUGAGUCAGAUCCAUUUAUUUGGGGGGGCUACCCGUAAAGCCAGAUUAAAUCACAGCCAGCAGUGUUUUAGCACAUCUGAGUCUUAGAGUUGAGGGGCCUCAGCACUGGCCUAGAGCCGUUUCCUGCGAAGCAGGGCUCCUUCCUGGUGACCUCACCAGCAGGUGCUGUGCAGACUCUUCCUGAAGAGUUUUGGGAAAGCCGGGGCUGCUGUCUCACCACUUUGAAGGGCACCGUUUGUUCUAGAACUUCCUAAAACUUGGAAUUAACCAUGUGUUAUUUUAGAAGACAUAAACAUUUUAAAUUUGGUUUUCAAUGUCAACCUUACUUAAAAGGCUUCGUAAAUGUAACAUUGUCUGGUUUGGUUUGGUUUUUCUCAUAGUUCUCCCCAAUGCAUAAGUUGUUUUUCCCAUUGUCUUAAUCUGAAAAUAUUUUCUUUUUGUGUUUAUGAUGGCAAAGGGGGAGGGGCGUUUGCUUUUUAAAUGGAACAGUCAUGACUUUGGCUCUCCCUUUCUAAGGCAACUAGAUUGGUUACUGUCACUCACUUAAUGGUCCUCCAACAUGGGCAGAAGCAUUUCAUUCAGGUCAAUGCCUGAGAAGCAAUGCUAGCACCUGUGGGGAAGGAAUCCAGGUUGGGAGCGCCCUUGGAGAAGGGAGCAAAUCUGUUCCCAGAGCACACGAAGGUGCCAAAAUGACCAGCACGCAUAGCUCCUCCUACAGCACUUAGUUCAGGGAGACUGGGGUUCUAGUGUACAUCAAAUGCUAGGUGAGAAGGCUGGGAAACAAUGUUUCGAUUGUCCUUUAGAGGAACAGGUAUUGGGACAUCACCUAGCGUUGGUGUUCAAACUCCACCCAUUGUUGGGAAAUGAUUGUACCUGGUUUUGCUAACUGACCGCCAUCAGCAUCAACAAGUAAAUUACAAUAAUGUAACACACACUGUGAUAACCCUGCCUCCCACUGAAGAGAAGCUGUGCUGACCUUGCUGCUGUCCAUGUUACCAGGUAACAGUAUUGAGAUGAGCCGCCAGAGCCCCUAAACCCUCAGCAGCAAUUGCCCAUGUGUACCCACCAAAUUACCUACUUUAAACCAUUUUCUGACCAGUUACAUCACCCUCAUAGCGGUCCAAGUGACUUGUCAGCUGAAGAAUUCCACCCAGAAUGAAUGUAUUUAUAGAGAAAAGAUCUGUAUCCAGCGCCCUUUGUAAAAUCUUCAAUCAUGUGGGUGCAUGUUUAUUUCUAACCAAAACUUUGUUUCUGAUUUCCAAGGGCUAGAGCUGAAGGUGUUUUUAUAGCCUUUUGGUUGCUGGUUCUGUUAGUUGCCUGAUAAGCAGGAGCUAAUUAAAGGUUCCCAAAAUAUGAAAGGAGCCUCUACGUACUGGGACACAGGGCCGCCUCUGGCGCAGGUUCUCCUGUUAGAAUGUGCCUCUGCUCGUCAGUGGGGUAGAUGCUCCUGUUGGCAGAAGUCGCUUGCAUUGGCCUUUCAUUGAUGUCCCAGCUCUCUGCCUGGUGUGCUGAGGUUCUUACCCGCCUCCCCCCUUCCUCUCUCCACCCUCCCCCAGUUUUUAUUUUUAAAAGCAGUGUUACAAAGUGCAUUUCUGUGAGUCCAUUGACAGGGCUCUAUUAUUUUAGAUGGCAGUUAGAACAGGUCUUUGACCCCUUUGAAAGCCCUUCAGGGCCAACCUUGACAAAGUCACUCCAUGGACAUGAAUCUUAUUUUUAUUUGCAUGGGCUUUUUUUCAAAUCCUUUCUAGAAGAAUAUGAGACAUUCUUACAAUAUAAGGAAUAAAAUUGUUCUCACAUCAAGGAUCAGUCUAUUUUGUAUCUUCCUCUUAUGUGCCAUCUGCCAUUAUCUCUAUUAACUCCCCCCUCCCCAAGGCAAUGACAUGUUUUGCUUGAUACCUCCAACAUUUAGUAAGUAGUAGCUUUCCUUUACCUGCUUUCCUGAAUUCCAUAUUUAUAUGCUUUAUGAAAGAUUUUAAAAGUAGAUUGAUUCUAACAGGGCUAGAAUCAUGAAGUAUUAAAUUAUAACGAACUUUUUCCCUCUUCUGAGGUUAUUUAGGAGAACUACGUGUAAUAUGUUUCUUUUGUUGCUGUAGAUAUGCACUUAUUUUAAUGUCCUUGAAAUGCUUUAUUAUAAUGAUAAUUGAUAUGGCCUUUGUUUAAAAGUAAACUAUCCCUGAUAAAUAAUAAAUUUUUAUAUUCUAUUUAUUGAAAAUGUCCAGAAUUGCACAGCUACUUGGCUUCAACCGUUACAAAGAGGCAUAUGCUUUUUCCCUUUGUGGACUUGAAGUUAGUUUACUUCUGGUUCAAGCAAGUCCGCAUGAGUUUUAUGUGGGCUUUAAAACACCCAUGAAUGAAAAAGUAAAUGUAGGGGACUGGGAUUGUGGCUCAGCGGUAGAGCGCUCACCUAGCAUGGACGGGACCCAGGUUCGAUCCUCAGCACCACAUAAAAAUAAAGGCAUUGUGUUGUGUCCAUCUACACCAAAAAAAUAAAUAUUAAAAAAAGUGAAUGUAUUUUAGAAAUGUGAUAUUUUCUUCUUUGGAGAAUUUGGCCAGAGAGCUUUAUAUAUGGGCUUUAUUCUUAACAAAGCAGUAAGGGCUUACUUUUUACCAACUUCUGUGUGUGUAAAGAUGUACUGUUUGAGCUUUAAGAAAAGAAUAAACUUGUCCACGUACAAACACCUGAUAUCUGACCUGGAUUUGU
rnacentral:lncRNA from 1 species